CCUACGGGUGGCAGCAGUCGAGAAUCAUUCACAAUGGGGGAAACCCUGAUGGUGCGACGCCGCGUGGGGGAAUGAAGGUCUUCGGAUUGUAAACCCCUGUCAUGUGGGAGCAAAUUAAAAAGAUAGUACCACAAGAGGAAGAGACGGCUAACUCUGUGCCAGCAGCCGCGGUAAUACAGAGGUCUCAAGCGUUGUUCGGAAUCACUGGGCGUAAAGCGUGCGUAGGCUGUGUCGUAAGUCGUGUGUGAAAGGCGAGGGCUCAACCCGCGGACGGCACAUGAUACUGCGAGACUAGAGUAAUGGAGGGGGAACCGGAAUUCUCGGUGUAGCAGUGAAAUGCGUAGAUAGCGAGAGGAACACUCGUGGCGAAGGCGGGUUCCUGGACAUUAACUGACGCUGAGGCACGAAGGCCAGGGGAGCGAAAGGGAUUAGAUACCCUAGUAGUC
rnacentral:rRNA from 1 species